rnacentral:piRNA from 1 species
UGGUGGACCUGUGACUUUUAGCAGCAGUGU